rnacentral:tRNA from 1 species
UGAGUCGUAGUUCAAUUUGGUAGAACACUAGGUUUGGGACCUAGGAGUUGCAGGUUCAAGUCCUGUCGAUUCAA